GCGUUGGUGGUGAAAUGGUAGACACGCGAGACUCAAAAUCUCGUGCCAAAAAGCGUGGAGGUUCGAGUCCUCUUCAAGGCA
rnacentral:tRNA from 1 species